AGGCUCGGGGGCGGGCGAGCGUUAUCUGCUCACCCCGGACGGGUCGGCGAGGAGCUCGGGGUUUCCUUCUCUCCCUCUUGUAAAUCUCUACUCAGUCCUGCGGAGAACCUGGCCAGUCGUCCAAGGAGAACCCGACGAAGCUUCCCUCGAGGGACAGCAGGUCUAGGAAGGAUCUUGUGCUUUUGGAAAAGCCGAGUUGGGGAAGUCGUUUGCUUGGAGCAGAGAAGCACAUCUGCCAGCUUCUUGACCAGGCUUCUCAAACCCGCAUCGGAGGAACCUAAUUCCUGAGCCACUGAGAAGUUCCGUGGUGCAACUUUGCUUGCUUUUUCGCAUCACUCAUGGCUAGCUUAGCAUUCAGCUUUCUUAGGUCUACAAAUGAGUUGUCGCUCGUAACUGCUUUCAGCUUCUAAACCUUUCCUGCUGUUGUUUUGGCUCCUAUCAUCCUUGUCCUUCUGGGUUUAUGCCUUUGUAUAUAACAGUCUUUACUGUUUUAGUGGGAUUUUGUAGUUUUUUCUUCCAAAAUUUAAAAAUUCUAGUUAGUUAACAUAUAGUGUAUUAGUUUCAGGAGUAAGAUUUAGUGAUUCAUCACUUAGACCUAAAACCCAGUGCUCAUCGUAACAAGUGCUCUCCUUAAUACCCAUCACUCAUUUAGCUCACUUCCCACCUAAGUCCCUCCACCAACCUGGUUUGUUCUUUAAGAGUCUCUUAUGGUUUGCUUUCCUCUCUCUUUUUCUUCUUAGUGGGAUU
rnacentral:lncRNA from 1 species